rnacentral:rRNA from 1 species
AGUGAACGCUGGCGGUAGGCCUAACACAUGCAAGUCGAACGGCAGCACAGUAAGAGCUUGCUCUUACGGGUGGCGAGUGGCGGACGGGUGAGGAAUACAUCGGAAUCUACUUUUUCGUGGGGGAUAACGUAGGGAAACUUACGCUAAUACCGCAUACGACCUACGGGUGAAAGCAGGGGAUCUUCGGACCUUGCGCGAUUGAAUGAGCCGAUGUCGGAUUAGCUAGUUGGCGGGGUAAAGGCCCACCAAGGCGACGAUCCGUAGCUGGUCUGAGAGGAUGAUCAGCCACACUGGAACUUAGACACGGUCCAGACUCCUACGGGAGGCAGCAGUGGGGAAUAUUGGACAAUGGGCGCAAGCCUGAUCCAGCCAUACCGCGUGCGUGAAGAAGGCCUUCGGGUUGUAAAGCCCUUUUGUUGGGAAAGAAAAGCAGCAGGUUAAUACCCCGCUGUUCUGACGGUACCCAAAGAAUAAGCACCGGCUAACUUCGUG